CGCAACAAGAGGAUUUGGCCGGGAACUUUUGGCAGCAUUUGAAAACUGGCCCUAGCAUUACCGAUGCAGCCAUGGGGAGGAUUGCUCAGACAACUAAAGUCAUAAGUGAAGGAGGCUAUGAAAAGUGAUAAUCCUCUUUCUUACAAAGUUGGAGAUCAGACUCAGUGGUCAUAUUACAAGGUA